UACGGGGGGGGGCAAGCGUUGUUCGGAAUUACUGGGCGUAAAGGGCGCGUAGGCGGUGCUCUAAGUUAGAUGUGAAAACUCUGGGCUCAACCCAGAGCCUGCAUCUAAAACUGGAGUGCUAGAGUUCUGGAGGGGGUAGCGGAAUUCCUGGUGUAGCGGUGAAAUGCGCAGAUAUCAGGAAGAACACCCGUGGCGAAGGCGGCUCUCUGGUACGUGACUGACGCUGAGACGCGAAAGCGUGGGGAGCAAACAGG
rnacentral:rRNA from 1 species